AGAGUUUGAUCCUGGCUCAGAGUGAACGCUGGCGGCGUGCCUAACACAUGCAAGUCGAACGAGGACGGAUAUAAGUUUACUUAUAUUGUCAGCUAAGUGGCGCACGGGUGAGUAAUAUAUAGUUAAUCUGCCCUGAAGAAGAGAAUAAUUGUUGGAAACGACUUGUAAUGCUCUAUAUGCCUUUAUCACAUAAGUGAGCAAGGGAAAUAUUUAUAGCUUCGGGAUGAGACUGUACGGUAUCAGCUAGUUGGUGAGGUAAUGGCUCACCAAGGCUAUGACAUCUAACUGGUUUGAGAGGAUGAUCAGUCACACUGGAACUGAGACACGGUCCAGACUCCUACGGGAGGCAGCAGUGGGGAAUAUUGCACAAUGGAGGAAACUCUGAUGCAGCAACGCCGCGUGGAGGAUGACACAUUUCGGUGCGUAAACUCCUUUUAUUAGGGAAGAUAAUGACGGUACCUAAUGAAUAAGCACCGGCUAACUCCGUGCCAGCAGCCGCGGUAAUACGGGGGGUGCAAGCGUUACUCGGAAUCACUGGGCGUAAAGAGCAUGUAGGCUGAUUAGUAAGUUGGAAGUGAAAUCCUAUGGCUCAA
rnacentral:rRNA from 1 species